UAUUUUAGUAUUUUAUUUUUAAAACAUCUAGUAGUAAGAUGUCUUCACUAAUUGAAAACCCAUCACAAUCUAAUCGCAUGUUUCUUUCUGUCUGAAGGUCACUGCACAAAUACGGAUGAAGCAUCUCCCAGGUGACGGGCGUAGUUCUGGGCGCUCAUACCUCAGUGAAUACACACGGACUCCUGUCGGCCUCAUUUGAGCAGUGGGGAGUGACAUGAUCAACAACAUACUUAAUAAUCCAGACAAUUUGUCACAAGGAAGUUCGGCAUGUGAUGGCAGCUGUCGCCUCAGUCACCCU
rnacentral:lncRNA from 1 species